UACGGGGGGGGCAAGCGUUGUUCGGAUUUACUGGGCGUAAAGGGUGCGUAGGUGGUUGGUUAAGUCGGGCGUGAAAGCUUUACCACUCAACGGAAAGAGGUCGCUCGAUACUGGCUGACUAGAGUAUGGUAGAGGCAAGCGGAAUUCCUGGUGUAGCGGUGGAAUGUGCAGAUAUCAGGAAGAACAUCGGUGGCGAAGGCGGCUUGCUGGGCCAUUACUGACGCUGAGGCGCGAAAGCGUGGGGAGCAAACGGG
rnacentral:rRNA from 1 species